GGUUGAUCCUGCCAGUAGUCAUAUGCUUGUCUCAAAGAUUAAGCCAUGCAUGUCUAAGUAUAAACAUCUUUAUACCGUGAAACUGCGUACAGCUCAUUAUAUCAGUUAUUAUUUCUUUGAUGGUACCUUACUACAUGGAUACCCGUAGUAAUUCUAGAGCUAAUACAUGCGUCAAAUCCCGACUUUAUGGAAGGGAUGUAUUUAUUAGAUAAAAAACCAAUGCGGUGUAAAAAACCGCUUUAAUUGGUGAUUCAUAGUAACUUGUUCGACGGAUCGCACGGCUUCAUGCUGG
rnacentral:rRNA from 1 species